CUUUUUUUUCUCUCUGUUUUUCGUUUAUAAAUUUUCUCUGAAAGUUCGUUCACAGAUUGGACUAAAGGACUAAGGCCUACCAAAUGCUUAAGGGUAGGGGCAGAUAGUGGAAAGAUAACCAAAACCGUAUAGAAGCACGUGAGCAGAAAGGACGUAAGGAAGGGGAUAAAAUAAAGGCUUAUUUACUGUAUCGCCCCCACUU
rnacentral:lncRNA from 1 species